rnacentral:rRNA from 1 species
GCGACCCCAGUCAGGCGGAUCUCCAGAUU